CCCUUAGAUGUUCUGGGCCGCACGCGCGCUACAAUGAUGAAUUCAACGAGUUUAUAGCCUUGGUUGAAAAGCCUGGGUAAUCUUUUGAACUUUCGUCGUGAUGGGGCUAGACCCUUGCAAUUAUUGGUCUCCAACGAGGAAUUCCUAGUAAACGCAAGUCAUCAGCUUGCAUUGAUUACGUCCCUGCCCUUUGUACACACCGCCCGUCGCACCUACCGAUUGAAUGGUCCGGUGAAAUCUUCGGAUUGAGACUUUGAUUUCUUCACGGAAAACGCUGUUUUAAGAAGUUGAUUAAACCUUACCAUUUAGAGGAAGGUGAAGUCGUAACA
rnacentral:rRNA from 1 species